UACGUAGGGUGCGAGCGUUAAUCGGAAUACUGGGCGUAAAGCGUGCGCAGGCGGUGAUGUAAGACCGAUGUGAAAUCCCCGGGCUUAACCUGGGAACUGCAUUGGUGACUGCAUUGCUGGAGUAUGGCAGAGGGGGGUAGAAUUCCACGUGUAGCAGUGAAAUGCGUAGAUAUGUGGAGGAACACCGAUGGCGAAAGGCAGCCCCCUGGGUCAAAACUGACGCUCAUGCACGAAAGCGUGGGGAGCAAACAGG
rnacentral:rRNA from 1 species